AGAGAUGUAGCUCAGGGGUAGAGUGCUUGCCUAGCAGGCAUGAGGCCCUGGGUUUGAUGCCCAGCACUGCAA
rnacentral:tRNA from 1 species